rnacentral:sRNA from 1 species
CGGCAGCCCUGAUGGCCCGGCAUGGGUUACCGCUGCUGCCCCUGCUGUCGCUCCUGGUCGGCGCGUGGCUCAAGCUAGGAAAUGGACAGGCUACUAGCAUGGUCCAACUGCAGGGUGGGAGAUUCCUGAUGGGAACAAAUUCUCCAGACAGCAGAGAUGGUGAAGGGCCUGUGCGGGAGGCGACAGUGAAACCCUUUGCCAUCGACAUAUUUCCUGUCACCAACAAAGAUUUCAGGGAUUUUGUCAGGGAGAAAAAGUAUCGGACAGAAGCUGAGAUAUUUGGAUGGAGCUUUGUCUUUGAGGACUUUGUCUCUGAUGAGCUGAGAAACAAAGCCACCCAGCCAAUGAAGGUGAGAGAACCUGGUCUUGCAGCUGAGGGGAUAGGAGUGGGACCUGGACAGGGAAUCCUGUGGGACAUGGGUUACCUGGGACACAGUGGAGAAUCAGACCUGAGAGGUGGAGGCAGAGGGGAAGCAAGAGAAACUCACCAUGGAGCGUCAGAUCAGUACACACUCCCAGGAAGUUAACCCUGAACCCAAGUUAGCUCUUGCCUAAAUGUCCAAGUCAGGAUAGGGUCCAAGGAACUUGAAUCAAGAGAUCACCUUGGUGGGCCAAGCGUGGUGGCUCAUGCCUAUAAUCCCAGCACUUUGAGAGGCUGAGGUGAGUGGAUCACCUGAGGUCAGGAGUUCAAGACCAACAUGGCGAAACCCCGUCUAUACUAAAAAUACAAAAAUUAGACAGGCAUGGUGGCACGCUCCUGUAAUCCGAGCUACUCAGGAGGCUGAGGCAUGAGAAUCGCUUGAACCUGGGAGGCAGAGGUUGCAGUGAGCCGAGAUGGCGCCACUGCACUCCAGCCUGGGUGACAGAGUGAGACUGUGUCUCAAAAGAAAAAAAAAAAAGAGAGAUCACCUUGGCAAGCCAACCUCUAAUAAGGGUGGUAAGAUGGGCUCUAUAAAGAUUCCAGUCUCAGCUGGGCGCAGCAGCUCACGCCUGUAACCCCAGCACUUUGGGAGGCCGAGGUGGGACAAUUGCUUGAGCCCAAGAAUUCAAGACCAGCCUGGGCAACAUAGAUCCCAUAUCUACAAAAAAAAGAAAAAAAAAAUUAGCUGGGCAUGGUCAUGCACACCUGUAGUCCCAGCUACUCAGGAGGUUGAGGUGAGUCCAGGAGGUUGAGACUGCA